rnacentral:rRNA from 1 species
UUCCUACGGGAGGCAGCAGUAGGGAAUCUUGCGCAAUGGGCGAAAGCCUGACGCAGCGACGCCGCGUGAGGGAUGAAGGCUUCGGGUUGUAAACCUCUUUCAGCAGGGACGAAGCGAAAGUGACGGUACCUGCAGAAGAAGGUCCGGCCAACUACGUGCCAGCAGCCGCGGUAAUACGUAGGGACCGAGCGUUGUCCGGAUUUAUUGGGCGUAAAGAGCUCGUAGGCGGCUGUCCACGUCGGGUGUGAAAGCUCGGGGCUCAACCCUGAGAGGCCAUUCGAUACGGGACAGCUUGAGGCAGCUAGGGGAGAUUGGAAUUCCUGGUGUAGCGGUGAAAUGCGCAGAUAUCAGGAGGAACACCGGUGGCGAAGGCGGAUCUCUGGGGCUGUUCUGACGCUGAGGAGCGAAAGCUGGGGGAGCGAACAGGAUUAGAUACCCUGGUAGUCCCAGCCGUAAACGUUGGGUGCUAGGUGUGGGGUGGUCUUCAACCCAUUCCGUGCCGCAGCUAACGCAUUAAGCACCCCGCCUGGGGAGUACGGCCGCAAGGCUAAAACUCAAAGGAAUUGACGGGGGCCCGCACAAGCGGCGGAGCAUGUGGCUUAUUCGAUGCAACGCGAAGAACCUUACCUGGGCUUGACAUGCUAGUUAAAGCCGGUGAAAGCCGGUGUCCUUUUGGGGCUAGCACAGGUGCUGCAUGGCUGUCGUCAGCUCGUGCCGUGAGGUAUUGGCUUAAGUGCCGCAACGAGCGCAACCCUUGCCCUUAGUUGCCAGCGGGUAAUGCCGGGGACUCUAAGGGGACUGCCGGGGACAACUCGGAGGAAGGUGGGGAUGACGUCAAGUCAGCAUGGCCCUUAUGUCCAGGGCUGCACACAUGCUACAUUCCGCGCCACAGAGGGCUGCGAUACCGCAAGGUGGAGCGAAUCCCAAAAAAGCGCGGUUGGUUCGGAUCGGGGUCCAACUCGACCCCGUGAAGUCGGAGUCGCUAGUAAUCGCAGAUCAGCAACGCUGCGGUGAAUACGUUCCCGGGCCUUGUC